rnacentral:lncRNA from 10 species
UCAAAUAUUUUUACUCUGACCCACAGCCCAAAAUACAUUCUGCAUGGUGACCUAGCAUAUAUACACAUACACACACACACCUGAAACAAAAGUUUUAUUAGGCAGUACCUAUACUUAACAUAUGUGAUGCAUUCUGGUCUUUUAUUUUCUAUUUUAUUCUAUUUCAUUAAGUUGAUUUCAUGAUAUGCUAAUGGAUUGCAACAUGUAUUUUGAGAAACAUUGGUCUAAUAGAUGACAACUUGU